AUUGAACGCUGGCGGCAUGCUUUACACAUGCAAGUCGAACGGUAACAGGCCGCAAGGUGCUGACGAGUGGCGAACGGGUGAGUAAUGCAUCGGAACGUGCCCAGUCGUGGGGGAUAACGCAGCGGAAGCUGCGCUAAUACCGCAUACGAUCUCUGGAUGAAAGCGGGGGACCGAAAGGCCUCGCGCGAUUGGAGCGGCCGAUGUCAGAUUAGGUAGUUGGUGGGGUAAAGGCCCACCAAGCCAACGAUCUGUAGCUGGUCUGAGAGGACGACCAGCCACACUGGGACUGAGACACGGCCCAGACUCCUACGGGAGGCAGCAGUGGGGAAUUUUGGACAAUGGGCGCAAGCCUGAUCCAGCAAUGCCGCGUGCAGGAAGAAGGCCUUCGGGUUGUAAACUGCUUUUGUACGGAACGAAACGGUCCGGGUUAAUACCCUGGGCUAAUGACGGUACCGUAAGAAUAAGCACCGGCUAACUACGUGCCAGCCGCCGCAGUAAGAC
rnacentral:rRNA from 1 species